UACGUAGGGAGCAAGCGUUGUCCGGAAUCACUGGGCGUAAAGCGCGCGUAGGCGGACCUGCAAGUCGGGGGUGAAAGCCCGAGGCUCAACCUCGGAACUGCCUUCGAUACUGCGGGUCUCGAGUCCGGGAGAGGUGAGUGGAAUUCCUAGUGUAGAGGUGAAAUUCGUAGAUAUUAGGAAGAACACCAGUGGCGAAGGCGGCUCACUGGCUCGGUACUGACGCUGAGGCGCGAAAGCGUGGGGAGCAAACAGG
rnacentral:rRNA from 1 species